GAGUGAAUUAUCACUGAUGUUGAACAUAAAUGGAAUUCAGUCAAGUUUCAACUUUAAACACUGUGUCUGAGGAGACUUCUUAAUCGUUUCUUUCUACCUCAGAAGACACAAAGUUCCUUGUUGCAAUGUUUUCUGUUGGUGACUGGGGCUAAUGAGGAGAUGUAAAACCACAGUGAAUCCAGUGACUGUUUCAAAUCCGGGCCUAUUUGUACAUGUUUGAAAUGGUGGUGUCAAU